GCAAACUUCGUUUUGGAUCCAGGAGCCGAACGUGAGCAUGAUCAUCACGGACUAUUGGAUGCCGGAGAUGACCGGCUACAACCUGCUCAAGAAAAUCAAGAUGCAGGUACAUGAUUGUCGAGAAUAAAAAAAUGCAACAUCACAGAAUGCAUACCCUUUUUGUUGAUUCCAGUAUAUUUCUGUAGUCCAGAGAUUCAUCAGGCAUGGGGCAUGACAAUACAGAGCCAGAUGUUCCCUGGUGUUGGAAGACAGGAAAGCAGAUGCUAGUGAUGGAAAGGCAUAAAUGCGCGUAUCCGAACAGGAAAGUUCUUUUACCGGUAUUGAACUGUGAGUGCAGUCCAUAAUGAUUAUGAAAGAAAUGUACCUCUGUGAUCUCCUGGACAUAAAUGCAUUUCCAGAUUAGCACUUGCUUCAAA